rnacentral:rRNA from 1 species
AACGAACGCUGGCGGCAGGCUUAACACAUGCAAGUCGAGCGCCCCGCAAGGGGAGCGGCAGACGGGUGAGUAACGCGUGGGAACCUACCCAUCUCUACGGAAUAACGCAUGGAAACGUGUGCUAAUACCGUAUACGCCCUUCGGGGGAAAGAUUUAUCGGAGAUGGAGGAGCCCGCGUUGGAUUAGCUAGUUGGUGGGGUAAAGGCCUACCAAGGCGACGAUCCAUAGCUGGUCUGAGAGGAUGAUCAGCCACACUGGGACUGAGACACGGCCCAGACUCCUACGGGAGGCAGCAGUGGGGAAUAUUGGACAAUGGGCGCAAGCCUGAUCCAGCCAUGCCGCGUGAGUGAUGAAAGCCCUAGGGUUGUAAAGCUCUUUCACCGGUGAAGAUAAUGACGGUAACCGGAGAAGAAGCCCCGGCUAACUUCGUGCCAGCCGCCGCAGUAAGAC